UACGGGGGGAGCAAGCGUUGUUCGGAUUUACUGGGCGUAAAGGGCGCGUAGGCGGCCACCGCAAGUCGACUGUGAAAUCUCCGGGCUUAACCCGGAAAGGUCAGCCGAUACUGCGGGGCUAGAGUGCAGAAGGGGCAACUGGAAUUCUUGGUGUAGCGGUGAAAUGCGUAGAUAUCAAGAGGAACACCUGAGGUGAAGACGGGUUGCUGGGCCAACACGUGACGCUGAUGCGCGAAAGCCAGGGGAGCAAACGGG
rnacentral:rRNA from 1 species